CAGGAUCAUAGCAGAGUGAGUUGCUGAUGUAUCCAGAAGGAAACGAGCAUGGAACACUCACGACAGCUGUCCUGAGAAGUGUGUGUGUGCUGUGCUUGAAUAUCUCACUGCUCAUUUAUACACAGGCUUUCUGGUGACUGAGUUAACAGUAUCUGUUUCAUAAAUAAUGUAGCCCUCUUUCUUUCUUUCUCUCUCUCUCUUUUUUUUUUUUUUUUUUUUUUUUUUUGAGACAGGGUCUUGCUCUGCUACCCAGGCUGGAGUGCAAUGGUGCAGUCUCAGCUCACCGCAACUUCACCAUGCCUGGCUAAUUUUUUCUUUUUUUUUUUUUUUGAGACGGAGUUUCGCUGUUUUUGCCCAGGCUGGAGUGCAAUGGCACAAUCUCGGCUCACCACAAUCUUUGCCUUUUGGGUUCAAGGGAUUCUCCUGCCUCAGCCUCCCGAGUAGCUGGGAUUACAGGCAUGUGCCACCACACCCGGCUAAUGUUGUAGUUUUAGUAGAGACGGGGUUUCCCUAUGUUGGUUAGGCUGGUCUCAAACUCCUGACCUCAGGUGAUCUACCCGCCUCGGCCUCUCAAAGUGCUGGGAUCACAGGCAUGAGCCAUCACUCCUGGCCUAAUUUUUGUAUUUUUAGUAGAGAGAGGGUUUCACUCUGUUGGCCAGGCUGGUCUCGAAUUCCUGACCUCAAGUUAUCUGCCUGCCUCGGCCUCCCAAACUGUUGGAAUUACAGGCGUGAACCACCAUGCCUGGCCAGCUCUAUUUCUUUAAGCCUACAUGUUUUGCACUUGUUAAAAGUAUUUGAACAUACAAUUACUCAGCUUCCCUUGUUUACGCGUGAAUUUUGUAGAAUCUUAAAUAUUUUUUCCAAUCUAAGCUUUAUUUUAUCCCGUUUCUUCUAUAUUUGUAUAACUUUAGGCGGCUAUCUUCAUUGAAAGUUUUUUCUCAAAAGCCUUAAGAUAGAACGUAGUUCUUGGCAGCAAUUUGAAAGUUAUUUGAGGAGAAGGGGAGACUUACAAUGAUGAUUCAAAUGAAGGAAACUAAAAAGUAAUGAAGCAAGGCAGAGGAAAAAGCAGUACUCACUUGAGCACAUCCCAAAAGAAAAACAUUUCAAAUGUAACUAGAAAAAAAUAUGCUGAAGUUCGCAAUACAGAAAUAAUUAUUAAUAAGAUAGCUUUAAAGCCCUGCUCAGCUUUUGAAUGUUGGGAAUUGACCCAGAGGUGGCUGUAACCUAAGAUGGUUCCUUCAGUAAUGACCAUUUUUUCUUUUUCAAGAUGAUGAUUAUUCCCCACCUUCUAAGAGACAAAGACCAACGAGCCACCACAGCCACCAGUCCCAGAACCCGCCAAUGCUGGGGAACGGAAAAUGAGGGAGUUCAACUCUGGCCCUCACAAUCCAGUGGAGGAGACGAAACUCAUCUGCCUCUGUCCCUCUGGGCACGCCUCAUGCCAGGUGCAUCUGUGGACAGGGGCCAUGCUCCUGGGCUUCCAAAGUUGGAGAAAGCUGCCAGGCUCAGGUCUGAAGGCCAGAAUUCUACAGUAAGUCCUACUGAGUCAAGGUGGGAGCAGGGUCGGUAGCUUCCGAGGCUCUGCGGGAGAAUCCGUUUCCUGGCCGUAGAGGUGGCCUGCACUCUGCAGCUUGUGCUGCCCGUCUCGAAUGACUGGAGUUUCCUGCUUCUGUCACUACACCUCCCACCCUCUCCAUCACCUGCUCUGCUCUUACAAGGAUCCGAAGAAAUGGAAUCAUCGUAUCGCUGAUCUACGUAAACAAACUGAAGAAUUGUCUGAAAGAAAAUAUGGUAUGUCUAAACUGGAAAAGUCUUGUAAUCUUAUGUUCAUGGGCGUUUACACAGUGGAGUUACUGUUCAUCAUGGGGGUACCGUGGACAAGCCCAGGGCUGCCGGCGAGUCAUGCCAUCCUUACAUGUUUCUCCUUGUAAGACAUGAACUUAUGAAUUCAACAGGUGAAGAUUUACAACUUGAUAAAUCAACUUUGUCAGCUCGAGCUGUAAAAGCCAAAGGUCCGGUGAUGAUCCCAUACCCUUUUUUCCAGUCUCAUGUUGAAGAUUUUUAUGUAGAAGGCCUUC